rnacentral:tRNA from 1 species
UGUGCUAUAGCUCAGUGGUAAAGCACAUGCUUAGCAUACAUGAGGGCCUGGGUUCUGUCCAUGGUACCACAA